ACCGCCUGUAACCUAGCUUCAGUCGAAGCUGCAAAGCGGGCCAGUGCGGAUGAUCGAUAGUCUGUUUGCAUUGAAUGUUAAUAACAGCAGGUGCUGCACAGUAUAUAAGGAACGCGCAACUGUAACCGGGAUUCAGUCGAAGCUGCGAAGCGAGCGCGUGCAGAUCUUGGGUUGGUGAUAAAAUGCGUGUGUGUUAGUAUAAAAAUAUGAACAACAGAUCGUGUAUGCAAGCUACAUAGAAGAAGAGCGAGUAGUCUAAAUAAAGCAGCCAGCUAUAAAAAGGCACCAGUUGAAGCUGCGAGCCGACCCGGUACAGAUGGGCUAAUACAGGUGAAGCCCACAGUAUAUAAAGGGCGCCCCUUUGCAGCUGAGCCUCAGUCGAACUUGCGAGGCGGGCAGGUACGGAUGGUCCAAAAUUUACAGCAGAUGCAGCCAAGCGUAUGUAAAGGGCGCCCAUUUGUAGCCGGGCUUCAGUCGAAGCUGCGAGGCGGGCCGUUGCAGAUCUUCAUUUAAUCUUAAUGCGCGUGUGUGUUAAUAUAAAAAUAUUUGUAUUAUAUCGUAUAGGCAAGCUAAAAAGAAAAAGAGCCAGUACUGUAACUAGGCUUCAGUUCAAGCUAACUUGUCCUUAAUGAAAUAGUGAGUUCCUAACUCCAGCUCUUUAUCCAUAUUGCACCCUAUUUAAUGUAAUUUACAAUUAUUAUUGUGUCAUCCCCUCUCUGUGUGUGUUACUCCCUCUCUUUUCCUAUUCUAUAUUGUA
rnacentral:sRNA from 1 species